rnacentral:rRNA from 1 species
CGUGACCUUAGGUCAGGUGGGAUCACCCACUGAGUUUAAGCAUAUCAAUAAGCAGAGGAAAAAAAACUUACCAGGAUUCCCUUAGUAACGACGAGUAACCGGGAAGAGCCUAACUUGAGAAUUAGGCACCCUUGACGUCUGAAUUAUAGUAUGAAGAAGCAUCCUUAGUGGUGACCGAGCCCAAGUCCCUUGGAAAAGGGCAUCAGAGACGAUGAGAGCCCUGUUGUGCCUGGACCCUGUCGUACCAUGAGACGCUGUCCGCGGGUCGGGUUGUUUAGGAAUACAACCCCAAUCAGGAGGUAAAUUCCAUCCAAGGCUGAAUACGGGUGAGAGAUCAAUAGUAAACAAGUACCAUGAGGGAAAAAUGAAAAGGACUUUGAAAAGAGAGUCAAAGAGUGCUUGAAAUUGUCGAAAAGGAAGUAGAUGGGGAAUGACGAUGCACCCCGAUUAGAUGUGGAAUGGUGAGAGUCGGUCCGUAGAUCAGCUCAAGGCAUGGAUCGAUGUGGGUCACGAUAGUGGCCCAAGCUUGGGCUUUCGAUGUGCCAGCAGAGAUGUCAUCAUCAUGAUCGUGGAAUGCAGCACGCACCAUUUCGACAUUCCUUGACAUCUGUAUGCUCUCGACGUAGGCCUGCGGGCUCUCCACCUGGCCUAUCUUCAAACACGAACCAAGGAGUUUGACAUGUGUGUGAGUCAACAGGCCAGGAAACCCAUAAGGAGCAAGAAAGCUGAUUGGCAAUCCCUCAUGGGUGCACCGUCGACUGACCUUGAUCUUCUGAGAAGGGUUCGAGUACGAGCACGCCCAUCGGUACCCGAAAGAUGGUGAACUAUGCUGAGCGGGGUGAAGCCAGAGAAAACUCUGAUGGAGGCUCGCAGCGAUACUGAUGUGCAAAUCGUUCCUUUGACUUGGGUAUAAGGGUGAAAGACUAAUCAAACCGUCUAGUAUUUGGUUCUCUCUGAAGUUUCCCUCAAGACAGCUAAAGCCCUCGACAAGUUUUAUCGGGUAAAACCAAUGAUUAGAGGCAUCGAGGGUGCAACGCCCUCGACCUACUCUCAAACUUUAAAUAGGUAGGAUGAUGCGACUACUUCGUUGAGCCACGCCAUAGAAUUGAGAGCUCCAAGUGGGCCAUUUUUGGUAAGUAGAACUAGCGAUGCGGGAUGAACCGAAAGCUAGGUUACAGUGCCCAACUCUAUGCUAACCCAAAACCCACAAAAGGUGUUAGUCAAUUAAGAUAGUAGGACGGUGGUCAUGUAAGUUGAAAUCCGCUAAGGAGUGUGUAACAACUCACCCGUUGAAUCAACUAGCCCAAAAAAUGGAUGGGGCUUAAGUGCACAACCUAUACCUGGUCGUCGGGGCAAGGGCCAAGCUUCGAUGAGUAGGAGGGCAUGACGAUCAUCAUAAAACACCAACUGUGAGCCAGGGCGGAGCAGCCGUUAGUGCAAAUCUUGGUGGUAGAAGCAAAUAUUCAAAUGAGAACUUUAAAGGUUGAAGAGGGAAAGGUUCCAUGUGAACAGCACUUGCACAUGGGUUAAUCAAUCUUAAGAGACGAGGGAAGCCUGUUCGACAGCAUGUCCCAUACGAGCUUCGAAAGGGAAUCGAGUUAAAAUUCUUGAACCAGGAUGCGAUGGCUGACGGUAACAUUAGGGAGUCCAGAGACAUCGGUGGGGGCCUCGAAAAGAGUUAUCUUUUCUAUUUAAUAGCCUGCCCACCCUAGAAAUGACUCAACUAGAGGUAGGGUCCAGUGGCCAGAAGAGCACCGCACGUCACGUGGUGUCCGAUGCACCCCCGGUGGCCUUUGAAAAUUCAGAGGACCAAGUGCCAUUUGCCCUCGAUCAUACUCAUAAUCGCAUCAAGUCUCCAAGGUGAACAAUCUCUAGUUGAUGGAACAAUGUAGGCAAGGGAAGUUGACAAAAUGGUUCUGUAACCUCAGGAAAAAGAUUGGCUCUGAGGGUUGGGCAUGAGGGUCCCAGUCCUGAACCCGUCGGCUAUCGAUGCACUGCUUGAGCUGCUUCUGCAUGCCGGUCAAGGGACAGAUUAGGAACGGCUCGCUCAGGGGCCUUCCCCGAACGAUGAACAGUCGACUCAGAACUGGCACGGACAAUGGGAAUCCGACUAUUUAAUUAAAACAAAGCAUUGCAAUGGUCCUUACAAAUGCUCACGCAAUGUGAUUUCUACCUAGUGCUCUAAAUGUCAAAGUGAAGAAAUUCAACCAAGCAAUGGUAAAUGACGGGAGUAACUAUGACUCUCUUAAGGUAGCCAAAUGCCUCAUCAUCUAAUUAGUGACACGCAUGAAUGGAUUAAUGAGAUUCCCAUUGUCCCUAUCUACUAUCCAGCGAAACCACAGCCAAGGGAACGGGCUUGAUAGAAUCAACGGGGAAAGAAGACCCUGUUGAGCUUGACUCUAGUUUGACUUCGUGAAAUGACUUGAGAGGUGUAGGAUAAGUGGGAGCCCCUGGGCACAAUUGAAAUACCACUACUUUUAACGUUAUUUUACUUAUUUCAUGAAUCGGAAGCGGGGCAUGACCCUUUCUUUUAGACCCAAGGCCGGCCUCUGCUGGUCGAUCUGGAUGGAAGACAUUGUUAGGUGGAGAGUUUGGCUAGGGUGGCACAUCUGUUAAAAGAUAACGGAGGUGUCCUAAGAUAAGCUCAACGAGAAUAGAAAUCUUGUUGGAACAAAAGGGUAAAAGCUUGUUUGAUUCUGAUUUCUAGUACGAAUACGAACUGUGAAAACAUGGCCUAUCGAUCCUUUAGACCUUUGAGAUUUGAAGCUAGAGGUGUCAGAAAAGUUACCACAGGGAUAGCUGGCUUGUGGCAGCCAAGCAUUCAUAGCGACGUUGCUUUUUUAUCCUUCGAUGUCGGCUCUUCCUAUCUUUGUGAAGCAGAAUUCACCAAGUGUUGGAUUGUUCACCCACCAAUAGGAAAUGUGAGUUGGGUUUAAACUGUCAUGAGAUAGGUUAGUUUUACCCUACUGAUGGCGGCAUCAUGAUAGUAAUUCAACCUAGUAUGAGAGAAACUGUUGAUUCAUACAAUUGGUCAUCGCACUUGGUUGAAAAGCCAGUGGCAUCAAGCUACCAUACGCUAGAUUAUGACUGAAUGCCUCUAAGUCAGAAUCUGAGCUACAAGCAUGCCCGUCGCCCGAUUGUCGACCCAUAGUAAGGGCUCAUGGUCUCUAAGGGCACGUGUCGUAGGUGUAGCCCCCGUGGUGGACGUGCCACGUGGGUCUCCUUGGAGCUCAAUUCCCACUGAGCGGUAGGUAGAAUCCUUUGCAAAUGACUUAAAUACACGACGGGGUAUUGUAAGUGGCAGAGUGUCCUUGUUUGAUCCAUUGAGAUUCAACCCUUUGUUGCUUCAAUUCGU